UACGAAGGGGGCUAGCGUUGCUCGGAAUCACUGGGCGUAAAGCGCACGUAGGCGGCUUCUUAAGUCAGGGGUGAAAUCCUGGAGCUCAACUCCAGAACUGCCCUUGAUACUGAGGAGCUCGAGUCCGGAAGAGGUGAGUGGAACUGCGAGUGUAGAGGUGAAAUUCGUAGAUAUCGCAAGAACACCAGUGGCGAAGGCGGCUCACUGGUCCGGUACUGACGCUGAGGUGCGAAAGCGUGGGGAGCAAACAGG
rnacentral:rRNA from 1 species